rnacentral:rRNA from 1 species
GGGGAAUAACAGCUGGAAACAGCUGCUGAUACCGCAUAAUGCAGAUGAGUCGCAUGGCUCUGACUGCCAAAGAUUUAUCGUUCUGAGAUGAGCUCGCGUCUGAUUAGCUAGUUGGCGGGGCAACGGCCCACCAAGGCGACGAUCAGUAGCCGGACUGAGAGGUUGGCCGGCCACAUUGGGACUGAGACACGGCCCAGACUCCUACGGGAGGCAGCAGUGGGGAAUAUUGGGCAAUGGGCGCAAGCCUGACCCAGCAACGCCGCGUGAAGGAAGAAGGCUUUCGGGUUGUAAACUUCUUUUCUGGGGGACGAACAAAUGACGGUACCCCAGGAAUAAGCCACGGCUAACUACGUGCCAGCAGCCGCGGUAAUACGUAGGUGGCAAGCGUUAUCCGGAUUUAUUGGGUGUAAAGGGCGUGUAGGCGGGAAAGCAAGUCAGAUGUGAAAACUCAGGGCUCAACCCUGAGCCUGCAUUUGAAACUGUUUUUCUUGAGUGCUGGAGAGGCAAUCGGAAUUCCGUGUGUAGCGGUGAAAUGCGUAGAUAUACGGAGGAACACCAGUGGCGAAGGCGGAUUGCUGGACAGUAACUGACGCUGAGGCGCGAAAGCGUGGGGAGCAAACAAGAUUAGAUACCCUGGUAGUCCACGCCGUAAACGAUGGAAAUGGGUGUGGGGGGACUGACCCCCUCCGUGCUGCAGCUAACGCAAUAAGUAUCCCACCUGGGGAGUACGAUCGCAAGGUUGAAACUCAAAGGAAUUGACGGGGGCCCGCACAAGCGGUGGAGUAUGUGGUUUAAUUUGAAGCAACGCGAAGAACCUUACCAGGGCUUGACAUCCUACUAACGAAACAGAGAUGUAUCAGGUGCCCUUCGGGGAAAGUAGAGACAGGUGGUGCAUGGUUGUCGUCAGCUCGUGUCGUGAGAUGUUGGGUUAAGUCCCGCAACGAGCGCAACCCUUAUUGUUAGUUGCUACGCAAGAGCACUCUAGCGAGACUGCCGUUGACAAAACGGAGGAAGGUGGGGACGACGUCAAAUCAUCAUGCCCCUUACGUCCUGGGCCACACACGUACUACAAUGGCGGCCAACAAAGAGAGGCAAGACCGCGAGGUGGAGCAAAUCUCAAAAAGCCGUCCCAGUUCGGAUCGCAGGCUGCAACCCGCCUGCGUGAAGUUGGAAUCGCUAGUAAUCGCGGAUCAGCAUGCCGCGGUGAAUACGUUCCCGGGCCUUGCACUCACCGCCCGUCA